AACGUAUUCAGAUUGAAGGUGACUCGUUGAUGAUUAUCAAACGACUACAUUCCUGCACAGUAGACAGAUCAGUUCUAGGCCCGAAUGUUGUUGAUAUUAAGGGUACCUUUGUUUGCUAGGAAAAUAUUUUUUAGAAAAUGUUUUCCUGAUUUUACGGUGUUUGAAAGGCUGAAAACAUUUUACAUUUGGAAUAUGUUUUCCAAAACACGGGUAAAAUGAGUAUGAGCUUACGAAAAAUGUCUUAUCGAUUUUAUUUCUAUAAGACAUUUUCCAACUCUCACCAGGUUACUUUCUCCUUCUUCCUUCCGUUCUUCAUCCCUUCUCAUUCUUCAUCCAGGCAAAUUACACGCUGUUGUUUCGUUUCGCUCAAAUCUUUCUAUUCGCAAGGUCUUGGCUUAAGUCAUUUUGGUAAGUUUGUGGAGAUUCAAUUUGACCGGAGGGGAAGGAUUUCAGGAGCUGCCAUCAGGACUUACUUAUUAGAAAGAUCACGUGUUUUUCAAAUGUCUGAUCCUUAGAGAAAUUAUCACUAUUUCUACAUGCUUUGUGCAGCACCACUAGAAAGGAAGAAUCAACUAAAAAAAGUUAAGUCAGCUUCCACAACUAAGCAUUCCACAAGUAUGAAAAUUCGAAGGUAGUCUGCCACUGGGCUAGGCCUCUACACAAAUAUGAAAACUGAAGAGCAGACAUUCUAUUUUGGAUUGAGAUCAAAUACAAUACAAUUAGGUCGGACAUCAAUUGAAAGCUCUUCAGUGAAGUUGAAAUCACCAAAUAAGAAACGCCAAACUGGCGGAGAUCCUACAAGCACACAAGAACCAGUUGCAAAUUAGAAGCAACCAAAGAGUUUUGGUAUUUUGUUAGUUUGAUAUUGGAUACUGGAUUUGGUUGGCAUUAGUACAGAGUUUGUGCUGGUAUAACCACUGUUUUGUUUUUGGUAAAGGCAAUAUUUUGGUGUUGGUUGAUAUUGCUAUAUUAUUGUUGAGUUCUUUUUGCUUGUGUAAAUACUGAAUAGGUUAAUAAAAGCCUAAAUAUUUUCACUCAAUAAAGAACAUACAAGAAUU